rnacentral:tRNA from 1 species
AAGAGAUAUUGAAAUAAAAACAGCUGCUAACUAGUUUUUAAAGCGGUUAAAUUCCGUUUGUCUCUUA